rnacentral:tRNA from 1 species
GGCUGUUGCCUUUAUGGGUUUUGUUUUGAAAGCAGGAUUUAAAGCAUUGGCUUGCUUAACAGUUU